GAGUUUAAUCUUGGCUCAGAUUGAACGCUGGCGGCAUGCCUUACACAUGCAAGUCGAACGGUAACAGGUCUUCGGAUGCUGACGAGUGGCGAACGGGUGAGUAAUACAUCGGAACGUGCCCGAUCGUGGGGGAUAACGGAGCGAAAGCUUUGCUAAUACCGCAUACGAUCUACGGAUGAAAGCAGGGGACCGCAAGGCCUUGCGCGGACGGAGCGGCCGAUGGCAGAUUAGGUAGUUGGUGGGAUAAAAGCUUACCAAGCCGACGAUCUGUAGCUGGUCUGAGAGGACGACCAGCCACACUGGGACUGAGACACGGCCCAGACUCCUACGGGAGGCAGCAGUGGGGAAUUUUGGACAAUGGGCGAAAGCCUGAUCCAGCCAUGCCGCGUGCAGGAUGAAGGCCU
rnacentral:rRNA from 1 species